ACAGCAGCAGCCGCGGUAAAACGUAGGUGGCAAGCGUUGUCCGGAAUUAUUGGGCGUAAAGGGCUCGCAGGCGGUUUCUUAAGUCUGAUGUGAAAGCCCCCGGCUCAACCGGGGAGGGUCAUUGUAAACUGGGAAACUUGAGUGCAGAAGAGGAGAGUGGAAUUCCACGUGUAGCGGUGAAAUGCGUAGAGAUGUGGAGGAACACCGGUGGCGAAAGCGGCUCUCUGGUCUGUAACUGACGCUGAGGCUCGAAAGCGUGGGGAGCGAACAGGAUUAGAUACCCGGGUAGUCCCUGUCUCUUAUAC
rnacentral:rRNA from 1 species